CAAACGCGAAAUGACGCUAUCCACUCUUAUACAUUAAAGGCGCGAAUGGCAUUUUGUCGUUGUCUUAACCCAAGUUAAAAUAAAAAAUGAAGAGCGCAAUAAUUUGACAGCAGACUAAGCAAACGUGUUGCAUUUCCUAUGCAAUGCGACCACGACUAAAGGCGUACAUGGACAAACUUAAAGCAGAAGGAAUGAUUGCAGACGUUGAUAGACCGACAGAUUUGGUAAGCAAUCUAGUUGUUGUCGAAAAAAAACAAGAGUUUAAGGAUAUGUUUGGUGGAUCCGAAGCCACUUCAUAAUGCGUGAACGGUACAGGAUACCAACACCAGAUGAUGUAAAGGCCCAUUUGUAUGAAAAGAAACUAUUUGCGGUUAUGGAUAUAAAAGACGGAUAUUGGCAUGUCAAGCUGACAGAAGAGUCGUCAUACCAUAUAGACAACUUAUAAUAGACCGCAAGCGUCACUUCUGGGAUUCCCGUAAAAACAUAUUUUUAGACCAAAAAAGCAAUGUUAGUUAUUCCUAAACGCAAAUAUUGUGUGUGUUUAUGUAGUUUGGUUCUAGCAAGUUUAUUAAAGCAAGAAAAUAGGGUUAAAUAAUGCAAAAAAUCAAGUUUAUUUGUUGCAGAUUCGUUCCGCUUCAGUGCACCCAGGUUAAAGCAAUCUGGUUUCGUUGCUCGAAAGCAAUCUGUUUUCGUUGCUCGAGUAAGCCAUACGUAUUAUCUAUGAAAGUAACCAAGUUUUUAGAAUAUCGGUAUGGCGGAUUCAGUGGUGUGUAGUUAUUUAAGCAGUCUAGAGAUUCAAUGCGACGUAUGUGGUGCAAUGAUGGCAAGCAUAGGAGUUGCGAACCCAUUGCUUAAUGCUGCAUUACGAACAAGGCAAGUCAAAAUAAACAUACAUGAUGUAUUUACAAAAACGGUAGCUUUAUGUCAGAAGCAGUCUAUUUACAAAACACCAAGUGUCUUUUGAUUUAACCAGCAGCACAUUUGGGUUUAUAAGAACAGUACUAAAAACAAACGGAACAAAUUCUGUUGUAUUUAUUCCACAUGGUGUGUAACUGCAGCCGAAUGAUCUGGGUAUGCCACAACAAUAAGCUACCUAUUUUCUUAUAAAACUGAUGGAUGAUAUUGCGGCACACGAACAAAUAGAUCAUAAAACAGAUAACCCGGUUAUAGGAGGUUAUAGGAUGAAAGAGAUUCAGGUAACACAGCAAAAUACUUUACUAGUAGUGGGAUCGUGCCAUACAUGUGUUCAUGCAUUUCUUUUACCAAAUGUAGUAUUGCCUCCUUUAACUUUUUUAAUAUAAUUUUUCUUUGUGUUAUUGCAGGCUCACUGUAGCUCACUUGUGCAAAUUCCGGGUUUGUAAUUCUUCUCAUGUUUGAUCUUUUUUUAAUAUAAUUUUUCUUUGUGUUAUUGCAGGCUCACUGUAGCUCAUUUAUAGUGUUACGUAGAUUAGAAGUUUUCAGUUCAAAAUACUAGCGAUAUACUAAGUCUAAUCACCGUAUUGCAAUUGAUAGUGUUACGAAGGAGAUACUAGCGUUAUACUAAGUAUAAAGCGUUCUAAAUCAAUUAUUUGUAAAGUUUAAUAUUAAGUUAUUUCCAUUGUUUUCCUUCAAUAUUUCGUCAAUAAAACCUUUUUUUAUUAAAUAAACUUAAAGGCCUUUGACAGUCGUGACCGGUAUACCACAUGGAGAACAAUCAAGAUCAAGUUCUGCUGACUCUUCAAGUCAAGAUCUAAGAAUGUUUCCCGAUUUAACGUUUGCGGAGGUUAGAGCUAUGCAAAAUCUAUGUCUGGGUGUACUAGUACUAGUAAAGCUUACAAAUUUUUUGCUGAACCUGGAUAUCUACAUAAUCUAAAUGCGACCUAUUUGGUGGAUAGAGUCAAAGUGACAGGGAAGUGCUUUAGAUCAAUGAGGAAAAGUGAGCCCCCACACAUUCUGGAGCUGUGUAUAAAGUUUGAGAACAAAGUCAUCAACUGCCAAAUGUUUAUGUGUUGCAGGUGCUAGUGGCUAUUGUCAUCAUUUAAUAGGCUUACUUUUCUACAUGGCACAUUGCAAAAUGUGUGAACUGACAGCUAUACGCGGAUGACUUAACCUGCACAAGUGUACCACAGCGCUGGAGUGUACCAAGGGAACGACAUAUCCAGACAAAAGAAAUCCAGUUUGUGAAGAAGCCAAGAAUGGGUGCGAAUUACACAACAAGUUUAUUAAAACUACUUUAUACUCACCAUGUACUCAUUCUGGAAUUCUUUGCAAGAGUGAUUUUUUAGGUUUAAACCCAUUACCAUUGGCAGCUGACAUUGCACCUACAGCAGAGAAAAGACAAAAUUUGCUUCAACUAGUCACAAAAUAUGGAAAUGUCCCCAAAGGUAGCAUAUUAAGUUGAAGCUGUCUCAGGAAUAUAUUAAAUGACUUUCUUGCUGGGGAUUUUCCUAAAUUACCACUUGAAGAUGCAGGAGAAAAAAUUAAUAACAAUUUGCAGCUCAGUUUAAACCAAGAAAAGCAGGCUGCGCUUGAAGCUUGGUCUGUAAACCAAGCAGUUGCUUUGGACAUUGAAGAAAAAACUGUAGCCCAGAGUGCAAGUAACCUCUGGUAGCUUUUGCGCUUUAUCAAAUUUUGAAAACUUGGUAAAACAAAUUAACCCUUCAAGACAUGUUGUAACUGCUCCUAUGAGGAGAGGUAUUGAAUUGGAACCCCAUGCUGCUAUGGUGUAUGCCAGUGUGGUCAAAGCAAGAAUGGUCAACAUUUACCCAUCUGGAUCUGCCC